rnacentral:rRNA from 1 species
GAUGAACGCUGGCGGCGUGCCUAAUACAUGCAAGUCGAGCGAACGGACGAGAAGCUUGCUUCUCUGAUGUUAGCGGCGGACGGGUGAGUAACACGUGGAUAACCUACCUAUAAGACUGGGAUAACUUCGGGAAACCGUAGCUAAUACCGGAUAAUAUUUUGAACCGCAUGGUUCAAAAGUGAAAGACGGUCUUGCUGUCACUUAUAGAUGGAUCCGCGCUGCAUUAGCUAGUUGGUAAGGUAACGGCUUACCAAGGCAACGAUGCAUAGCCGACCUGUGAGGGUGAUCGGCCACACUGGAACUGAGACACGGUCCAGACUCCUACGGGAGGCAGCAGUAGGGAAUCUUCCGCAAAGGGCGAAAGCCUGACGGAGCAACGCCGCGUGAGUGAUGAAGGUCUUCGGAUCGUAAAACUCUGUUAUUAGGGAAGAACAUAUGUGUAAGUAACUGUGCACAUCUUGACGGUACCUAAUCAGAAAGCCACGGCUAACUACGUG